rnacentral:rRNA from 1 species
AUGAACGCUGGCGGCGUGCCUAAUACAUGCAAGUCGAGCGAACAGAUGAGGAGCUUGCUCCUCUGACGUUAGCGGCGGACGGGUGAGUAACACGUGGAUAACCUACCUAUAAGACUGGGAUAACUUCGGGAAACCGGAGCUAAUACCGGAUAAUAUAUUGAACCGCAUGGUUCAAUAGUAAAAGACGGUUUUGCUGUCACUUAUAGCUGGAUCCGCGCCGCAUUAGCUAGUUGGUAAGGUAACGGCUUACCAAGGCAACGAUGCGUAGCCGACCUGAGAGGGUGAUCGGCCACACUGGAACUGAGACACGGUCCAGACUCCUACGGGAGGCAGCAGUAGGGAAUCUUCCGCAAUGGGCGAAAGCCUGACGGAGCAACGCCGCGUGAGUGAUGAAGGUCUUCGGAUCGUAAAACUCUGUUAUUAGGGAAGAACAAAUGUGUAAGUAACUAUGCACGUCUUGACGGUACCUAAUCAGAAAGCCACGGCUAACUACGUG